GAUGAACGCUGGCGGCGUGCCUAAUACAUGCAAGUCGAGCGAACGGACGAGAAGCUUGCUUCUCUGAUGUUAGCGGCGGACGGGUGAGUAACACGUGGAUAACCUACCUAUAAGACUGGGAUAACUUCGGGAAACCGGAGCUAAUACCGGAUAAUAUUUUGAACCGCAUGGUUCAAAAGUGAAGGACGGUCUUGCUGUCACUUAUAGAUGGAUCCGCGCUGCAUUAGCUAGUUGGUAAGGUAACGGCUUACCAAGGCAACGAUGCAUAGCCGACCUGAGAGGGUGAGGCCCCACUCGGGAACGGAAACGCGCUCGACCCCCCAGGGGGGGAAAGGAGGGGGAAUUUUCCCAAAGGGGGCAAACCCGGGGGGGCGCACCGCCGGGAGGGAGAUGAGGUUUUGGGGCUGGAAACCCUUUUUUAUGGGGAAAAAAAAUGUGUAAAGAAAAGUGCCCCCUUUGAGGGGACCCAAAAAAAAAAGCCCGGGUAAACCCGCG
rnacentral:rRNA from 1 species